AAAUGGUUUUCAAUUUCUCCAAAUGGCAAAUAUACACCAAAAUUGGGAGGGCCCAAACAAAAAUAUAAUUCAUUAAGAAGACAUCAUGAAGUUAUGAUUUCAUUAAAAUAUAUGUAGAUUGAGUUGAUGGCUGCAGACGAGUAUGGAUCUAGUCAUGAUACAAGAAAAACAUGAACCAGAAGCAAACUCGCCCACAAAAAUCAUCAAGUCAAGAUAUUUAAUAAGACAAAUAAUAAAAAUUAUUAAAUGGUUCAAUUGUGAAGUUUUAAA